UACGUAGGGGGCGAGCGUUGUCCGGAUUUAUUGGGCGUAAAGAGCUCGUAGGCGGUUCGAUAAGUCGGACGUGAAAUCUCCACGCUCAACGUGGAGGGGCCGUUCGAUACUGUCGUGACUCGAGUCCGGUAGGGGAGUGUGGAAUUCCCGGUGUAGCGGUGAAAUGCGCAGAGAUCGGGAGGAACACCCGUAGCGAAGGCGGCACUCUGGGCCGGUACUGGACGCUGAGGAGCGAAAGCGUGGGGAGCAAACAGGG
rnacentral:rRNA from 1 species